rnacentral:rRNA from 1 species
UACGAAGGGGGCUAGCGUUGUUCGGAAUCACUGGGCGUAAAGCGCACGUAGGCGGCUUGGUAUGUCGGGUGUGAAAUCCCCGGGCUCAACCUGGGAACUGCAUCCGAAACUGCCUUGCUAGAGUAUGGGAGAGGGAAGUGGAAUUUCCGGUGUAGCGGUGAAAUGCGUAGAUAUCGGAAGGAACAUCAGUGGCGAAGGCGACUUCCCGGACCAAUACUGACGCUCAGGUGCGAAAGCGUGGGGAGCAAACAGG